AAUUUUGUUGAAUUUUUAGGUACGAGUUAGCUGAUGAUUGUGUUGAUGAUGACGAUGCAAAGGUUGGAAUCUCUGAGUUGAGGAAGGCGGUUUUAGAGGAGCUGAAGAUGCAUAAUUCACUGGUACAGGAGUGGGGAUUGGACCUUGCAAAAGAGAACAAUAUUAAUUCUGCAACGGUAAAAUACACACAAUUCCUGUUAGCCACAGCCUCUGGGAAGAUUGAAGGACUAAAAGGUGCUGGUAAACUCGCAACACCAUUUGAGAAAACAAAAA